UACGGAGGGGGCGAGCGUUAUUCGGAAUUAUUGGGCGUAAAGGGCGCGUAGGCGGCCCUGCAAGUCAAAGGUGAAAUCCCUCGGCUCAACUGAGGAACUGCCUUUGAAACUGCGGGCUUGAGGCCGGGAGGGGGUAGCGGAAUUCCCAGUGUAGCGGUGAAAUGCGUAGAUAUUGGGAGGAACACCAGUGGCGAAGGCGGCUACCUGGACCGGUUCUGACGCUGAUGCGCGAAAGCGUGGGUAGCAAACAGG
rnacentral:rRNA from 1 species